GCUGCAGUAGCUCAGUGGUAGAGCACUCCUUGGUAAGGGAGAGGUCGAGAGUUCAAUCCUCUCUUGCAGCACCA
rnacentral:tRNA from 1 species